rnacentral:rRNA from 1 species
AGUGAACGCUGGCGGUAGGCCUAACACAUGCAAGUCGAGCGGCAGCACAGUAAGAGCUUGCUCUUACGGGUGGCGAGUGGCGGACGGGUGAGGAAUACAUCGGAAUCUACUUUUUCGUGGGGGAUAACGUAGGGAAACUUACGCUAAUACCGCAUACGACCUACGGGUGAAAGCAGGGGAUCUUCGGACCUUGCGCGAUUGAAUGAGCCGAUGUCGGAUUAGCUAGUUGGCGGGGUAAAGGCCCACCAAGGCGACGAUCCGUAGCUGGUCUGAGAAGAUGAUCAGCCACACUGGAACUGAGACACGGUCCAGACUCCUACGGGAGGCAGCAGUGGGGAAUAUUGGACAAUGGGCGCAAGCCUGAUCCAGCCAUACCGCGUGGGUGAAGAAGGCCUUCGGGUUGUAAAGCCCUUUUGUUGGGAAAGAAAAGCAGCAGGUUAAUACCCCGCUGUUCUGACGGUACCCAAAGAAUAAGCACCGGCUAACUUCGUG